AUAUCAAUAAGCGGAGGAAAAGAAACCAACAGGGAUUGCCUCAGUAACGGCGAGUGAAGCGGCAUCAGCUCAGAUUUGAAAUCCGUAUUCCGGAGUUGUAAUCUGUAGAGGUACGUUUGGUUAGGAGCCGGAUCAAAUCACCUGGAAUGGUAUGCCUUAGAGGGUGAGAGCCCCGUACCGUCCGGUUUCCGUCGCCAUGUAACGUCCUUCGACGAGUCGAGUUGUUUGGGAAUGCAGCUCUAAUCGGGUGGUAAAUUCCAUCUAAAGCUAAAUAUUGGCCAGAGACCGAUAGCGCACAAGUA
rnacentral:rRNA from 1 species